AAGCCGAUGAAACUAGUUUUUCAGCCCUUAGCACAUCACCCAUAAAUGGAGACAAGGUGAUCAAGAGAUGCUGAGGAGGGCUGAUAGUGGAGAGAAUUGUUGGAAAGCAUGAAUUUCCCCAACCACAGAAGAAACAGCCAAUGAAUCUCAACUGAGCAAACUGAUGAGCUUUUUGUCACUCUAAAUAUCUGUUGAGGGCUCUCGAUCUGCUAGAUCAAUCACAGUCUCAGCCCUCGGUAUCAAACUCCUUACCACACAUAGGAAAACUCGAGUCAG
rnacentral:lncRNA from 10 species